rnacentral:rRNA from 1 species
AGAGUUUGAUCCUGGCUCAGGAUGAACGCUGGCGGCGUGCUUAACACAUGCAAGUCGAACGAACCUUCGGGUUAGUGGCGGACGGGUGAGUAACGCGUGAGAAUCUGCCCUCAGGAGGGGGAUAACGGUUGGAAACGGCCGCUAAUACCCCAUAUGCCGCGAGGUGAAAUGAAUUUCGCCUGAGGAUGAGCUCGCGUCUGAUUAGCUAGUUGGUGUAGGUAAUGGCUCACCAAGGCAUCGAUCAGUAGCUGGUCUGAGAGGAUGAUCAGCCACACUGGGACUGAGACACGGCCCAGACUCCUACGGGAGGCAGCAGUGGGGAAUUUUCCGCAAUGGGCGAAAGCCUGACGGAGCAACGCCGCGUGAGGGAUGAAGGCCUCUGGGCUGUAAACCUCUUUUCUCAAGGAAGAAGAUCUGACGGUACUUGAGGAAUAAGCCACGGCUAAUUCCGUGCCAGCAGCCGCGGUAAUACGGGAGUGGCAAGCGUUAUCCGGAAUUAUUGGGCGUAAAGCGUCCGCAGGCGGCCCUUCAAGUCUGCUGUUAAAGCGUGGAGCUUAACUCCAUCAUGGCAGUGGAAACUGUUGGGCUUGAGUGUGGUAGGGGCAGAGGGAAUUCCCGGUGUAGCGGUGAAAUGCGUAGAUAUCGGGAAGAACACCAGUGGCGAAGGCGCUCUGCUGGGCCAUCACUGACGCUCAUGGACGAAAGCCAGGGGAGCGAAAGGGAUUAGAUACCCCUGUAGUCCUGGCCGUAAACGAUGAACACUAGGUGUCGGGGGAAUCGACCCCCUCGGUGUCGUAGCCAACGCGUUAAGUGUUCCGCCUGGGGAGUACGCACGCAAGUGUGAAACUCAAAGGAAUUGACGGGGGCCCGCACAAGCGGUGGAGUAUGUGGUUUAAUUCGAUGCAACGCGAAGAACCUUACCAGGGUUUGACAUCCUGCGAACCUCUUGGAAACGAGAGGGUGCCUUCGGGAACGCAGUGACAGGUGGUGCAUGGCUGUCGUCAGCUCGUGUCGUGAGAUGUUGGGUUAAGUCCCGCAACGAGCGCAACCCACGUCUUUAGUUGCCAGCAUUUAGUUGGGCACUCUAGAGAGACCGCCGGUGAUAAACCGGAGGAAGGUGUGGAUGACGUCAAGUCAUCAUGCCCCUUACAUCCUGGGCUACACACGUACUACAAUGCUACGGACAGAGGGCAGCAAGUUCGCGAGGACAAGCAAAUCCCGUAAACCGUAGCUCAGUUCAGAUCGUAGGCUGCAACUCGCCUACGUGAAGGAGGAAUCGCUAGUAAUCGCAGGUCAGCAUACUGCGGUGAAUACGUUCCCGGGCCUUGUACACACCGCCCGUCACACCAUGGAAGUUGGCCACGCCCGAAGCCGUUACUCCAACCCUCGGGAGGAGGACGUCGAAGGUGGGGCUGAUGACUGGGGUGAAGUCGUAACAAGGUAUCCGUACCGGAAGGUGCGGAUG